rnacentral:rRNA from 1 species
UCGAGAAUCUUUUGCAAUGCCCGAAAGGGUGACAAUGCGACGCCGCGUGCGCGAUGAAGGUCUUCGGAUUGUAAAGCGCUGUCAGCCGGGAGGAAGGUCCAGCCUUUUAAUAAGGGGUUGGGAUUGACAGUACCGGCAGAGGAAGCCACGGCUAACUCCGUGCCAGCAGCCGCGGUAAUACGGAGGGUGCGAGCGUUAAUCGGAUUUACUGGGCGUAAAGCGUGCGUAGGCGGCUGAUUAAGUCGGAUGUGAAAUCCCUGAGCUUAACUUAGGAAUUGCAUUCGAUACUGGUCAGCUAGAGUAUGGGAGAGGAUGGUAGAAUUCCACGUGUAGCAGUGAAAUGCGUAGAGAUGUGGAGGAAUACCGAUGGCGAAGGCAGCCCCCUGGGUCGAUACUGACG